AUUCGUUUCCUUAUUUACUGAACAUUCUAUAUAUAUAUAUAAUUAACACAGUGCCAUACAACAAUACUAACAGGAGGGCGGACUGCACACAAACGCUUUUGCAAUUCACGGCCAAUGUGCCAUAAUAAGAUAUCCCUAUCGAUAGUUGACCUUUUACCAUCAUCGCGAUCACUACUUUUGUCUGAUAAUUAACUUCACUUUUCUACCUCGUAUAUUGUGUGUAUGUGUCGCCGUCAGCUCCCUGUUGGAUUAUAUCAUCUUUAGGUGUCCAGCAGUUUUCCAGGCUAACAAGAUCAUUUUGCAACAUCCUUGGUAUAUCAUAACUUUGAGUUUCUGCCUUACAAUACAUAUUAGCAGCACUAGUUAUAUCUCCUUGAAUUUCUAAAUGACGUCCAACAUGGUACAGAUCAUAACGAUGACAAGUCUUCAACAAUUCUUCAGCUUCAUCCUUACAAAAUAUAUUACAUUUCUUACUCAGAUAUAAUUUACAAGUAAGUAGAAAUAUACACACUUACAUUCAUUCCUAAAUGCAUUGCUAGAGCAGCCACUUUAGUUUCAAGUUCUUUUUCUGAUGACAUUGAUCGUAUAAUAGCAAUACCUCUACAAUCUUUCAUAUGACCUAGACAUAUUUCAGCAACAUCUAUGCGCUUAGUUUUCACACACAUUUUAGCAAGACUUGUCCAUAUUUCAGCACUAA